GUGUGUGGGAGGAAAAACCCCCGCAUAAGUCGAAGGUGUGACGCGGACCGAAAAAGAGUAGGGAAGCUGUUAAGCAAGCCGUCAAGAAAAGCUGCUAUUGUUUCAUUAUGGCCCGUACCGUAAACCGACACAGGUGGAUGGGGAGAGAAUCCUAAGGCCGGCGGAAGAAGUAUUGUUAAGGAACUCGGCAAAAUGACCCCGUAACUUCGGGAGAAGGGGUGCCUGCGAGAGCAGGCCGCAGAGAAGAGGCCCAAGCAACUGUUUAGCAAAAACACAGGUCUAUGCAAAACCGAAAGGUGAGGUAUAUGGGCUGACGCCUGCCCGGUGCUGGAAGGUUAAGGGGAGUGGUCAGGAAACGAAGCCACGAACUUAAGCCCCAGUAAACGGCGGCCGUAACGAUAACGGUCCUAAGGUAGCGAAAUUCCUUGUCGGGUAAGUUCCGACCCGCACGAAAGGCGUAAUGAUUUGGGCGCUGUCUCGAGAUACAUCCGGUGAAAUUGAAGUGCCAGUGAAGAUGCUGGCUACCUGCGCCAGGACGGAAAGACCCCAUGGAGCUUUACUCCAGCUUGAUACUGGGACCCGGUAUUGCAUGUACAGGAUAGGUGGGAGGCUAGGAAAUGUGGACGCCAGUCUGCAUGGAGCCGCUGUUGGGAUACCACCCUUGUGGUGCUGGGUUUCUAACCAGAGGCCGUGAACCGGUCUGGGGACAAUGUCAGGUGGGGAGUUUGACUGGGGCGGUCGCCUCCGAAAGGGUAUCGGAGGCGCCCAAAGGUUCCCUCAGAAUGGUUGGAAACCAUUCGAAGAGUGCAAAGGCAGAAGGGAGCUUGACUGCGACACCGACGGGUGGAGCAGGUACGAAAGUAGGGCUUAGUGAUCCGGUGGAAUUUAAGUGGGAAUGCCAUCGCUCAACGGAUAAAAGCUACCCUGGGAUAACGGGCUGAUCACUCCCAAGAGUUCACAUCGACGGAGUGGUUUGGCACCUCGAUGUCGGCUCAUCGCAUCCUGGGGCUGAAGUCGGUCCCAAGGGUUGGGCUGUUCGCCCAUUAAAGCGGUACGCGAGCUGGGUUCAGAACGUCGUGAGACAGUUCGGUCCCUAUCCGGCGUGGGCGUAGGAUAUCUGAGAGGAGCUGUCCUUAGUACGAGAGGACCGGGAUGGACUGACCUCUGGUGUACCGGUUGGCGAUCAACGCCACGGCCGGGUAGCCAUGUCGGGACGGGAUAAACGCUGAAGGCAUCUAAGCGUGAAGCCCCCCUCAAGAUGAGAUAUCCCAUCGUAAGAGUAAGACCCCUUGAAGACGACGAGGUUGAUAGGGCAGGGGUGGAAGUGCCGUAAGGCAUGGAGCUGACUGCUACUAAUCGGUCGAGGGCUUGACCAA
rnacentral:rRNA from 1 species